GCCUGGCUCACAUUUUCCUUAAAAAAAAAAAAAAAGAGAGAGAGGACUGUUUUUAGAAGGCUGCACUAAUAGGGGGGAGGUGGAGGAGAUUCGGGUCGGUGCGCCGCGGGCUCGCCCCGCUCGGGGAUGCGCGUGGGGCACACAGACAGCCAAAAGGCCACGAAAGCUGCAGGCCCAGCGACAGCCUGUGCCACCCUGACCAGGAAAACGCAUGGAGGAUUGUUCUCAUGCCAUCCUAUCACCAACGCCAUGUUGGUGCCCGGAGCUGGGCCCAGCAGCGCGCUGCAGCGCACGGUUCAAGCUCCGCCGGCUCUUUCAUAAGCGGAUAGAAAGGAAGGGAAAUCUCACCCGUUUGUGCCUCUGUCAAGUAUCUUCUGCCUCAUUUCCUGAAGUUAUUAGCUCUCUUUUAUUGGGUUUGGCUUGCAGGAGGAUGACUAUUUCAUCCAUCAAAUCAGAAUCUUUUUAACGCUAAUACCGAAUUUAUAGAAGUGGUUAAACGAAGUGUUGACAAUAUGGACAAUGUGUUUCUGAUUAACGCCGCAAUUUAAAGUGGAACUGCCAACUGCCUGGAGUUACUAAAACAGCGCCGCGUUUUUCCAGGCCCCGCGGGCCGGAGCUCCGCGUCGCAGCGAGCAGAUGUCGGCACCACGCUGCACUUGCGCUGAUGGCCUCUGCCACCGGGGCUCCUCCCCAUAAGCUUUGCGUUCCCUCUGCUGAUGAUCGUGUUUGUCCUUUGCUCUUCCCCUUUGGGUGCGUUGGCGUUUCAGUUUCCUAGCUUUUCCCUGCCCCACGGAGCAGUGCUGUUGGGCACUGGGUGCUCUCUGGUUCCCAGUGCUCAGCAUCACUCCCACGGCACAAGCACCCAGCGUGGGGAUGGGACAGAGCGCAACAGCCGGCCCCUUUCUCUUUGAAGGACAGGAAAGCAGACUCAAAUAUCCCAAUAAUUAAUUAUAUCUUUCUUAAUAUUGUGAGAAACAAAGGGAGCUGUGCCCAUAGAACGACAACAGGAACAGAUGGAGAGCGGGGAGCGCAAGCAGAGCUGAGCCAUCGCCGCAGCAUCCAACACAGCAGUGCGAUCGCAGCCGGCUUGAGAAGUACCACUUCCACCUGAAACCUCCUCUGAGAACACUCACAGGAGUGGGAGCUUUGAUCCCCUCCCUCCCUUUGCUCGUUAAUCGCCCUCAGUUGCAAUACCGAACUUCUGAAAUUCAACAGCUACUAAAACAUAAGGCAUUGAGGGCUUGGAAAGUCUCGCGGAGUUGGAGGUUUUGCAGAAUGUUUUGGCUCCUCCAGGUUCAGAGCUGGCAUGCGAGUUCAGGAGUUCUCAUUUAAAGCUGCUGGGUUUGCAUCGUGUUCGAGGGUGGUUCGGGUUUGGAACAAGCAAUAUCUCUUCCCCGUGCACAGCGCAGGAUCAGACCAGUACCCCCCUACUUCCCAGUAGCAUCCUCGUGCUGCCAGCCCACACCCCUACGCUGCACAGCCUCUCUCCUUCCUGAGCUCAGGGGGGAUCCACUGCAAAUUAAUGGUGAUUGAGCUAUGCUAAUGGCAGUCCCACUGUUUACCCCCUGCUGAUGUUUGCAAGGGCAUUCAGCUGGUGUCCCUCUUAGCAGUAUAAAUUUCACCUGUGCUGAAGGAGCUGAGGGCACUGCAGCAGCAAAUCUCUGGUGUUUGGGGGCUCUGUAAGACCAGGCUCAGCCCCAGGUAAUGCCAAGGAGGGGAUGAUUUCCAGGCUGGCCCUCCUUCCCUGCCCAUCCCCUGCGUGCUCCAGCCCCUGUCUGGCCUUGUUUAAGAGUCAGUUUCAAUAGUACCUUUGUUAAGGGUGAAAUCUCAUUAAAUGUGAGGUAAGAGGAAAUGAAAAAGUGUAAAAUAUCCAGAUUUAUUACCUGUUGUCUUCUGAGCAUUUGAAAAUCAGGAGCUGGGGGCAAGAGGGUGAGUGGUAUCAAAGCUCUGAGCCUUAACGUUGCUGCCUUCUGCUCUGAGGGCACUGCUUGCUUGUAGCGCUGUUUUAUUGCAGGGGAGAUGAGUUUCAUGCUAUUUAGGAUAAAGAAGAAUUGGCCCUAACGCACACAACCGCUGGCUCGGAGCUCCGUUAGCCCACGCACAUGCAGGUAAGGAUGUCUAUUUGUUAAACUCAGAAUUUUCCCUUGGUUCAAAGGGAAAGAUUUUCCAGGGUAAGCGUCGCCUCUGUUUUUCGUCUUUCAAAAGUGAGCAGAGGGGCAGAACCCUCUGGAUUAGCGUGGAGUUUAAUAGCACUGCUAGUAAGGGAGCGAGCCACAGGGCCUGGCUGAACACUGCUCCUGCACGUUGCACCCCAAGUUCUCCCAGCAGUGCCCUGUGUCUCCCACCCCCUGCAGCAAGCCAUGCAGGGACAGCAGGAACUGCUGCCUCCAUCCCUGCUUCGAUGCAGCCCUGGGCAGCUUUUGGCCCUGCACCCACUGUGUGCGAUGGGAGCAGCGUUGCUCAUCUCGGUCCCCGGGUUGCUCCAUCCUGCUCUAUGCCCGGUGCUCUUAGAACACUGCUCCUGGUAUGUGCUACGCCUGUAGCUGGAGCUCUGCCUCUCACCUUCGCUGUACUUGUCGGAUUGAUGCGCUGCUCGCUUUAGUCCUUUAAACGAAUUAGUUGGUGGGGAGUAAUGAGAUAAUUUGUGAUGUACGGGGUGGUGGAGGCACCUGUGACAAACGCGUCACCCCCGGGCCGGGAACAGGAGGGGCUGAGCGCUGCUUCCCGAACACGCUCCAGCUCCCGGCUCGCUGUUGGGCCGUUACCAUGGCAAACAGCCUCCCCCCUCCCCUUCUCGCGGCCCUCCGGCUGUACCAUCAGCACAUCGGUAUUUCUGUACGAGCACACAGGAAGGGAGCGCGGAGACGUUGCAGGUGCUGCCUUUGGCCGGGCCCCAGAGCCGGGCCGGGCCGCGGGGACCGCACGCCCUCCAGAGCCCGGGUCGGGUUCGGCAGCGCCUUUGUGCUCGGGGCCGCGGUGAGACAAAGGGAUCCGGGCUGCGGCGGAGAGCAGGGCCCGGCGCUGCCGCCGGGGGCUCCGAAGGGUUCCAGGGCCUUCGUCUUUUAGCCCUUCGGUUCUCGAACGUGGCCUCUGAGACACAAAUGACCGCAGGAGGUGGGAUAACAAGCUGUGCCUUGCUGAGGAGCAAGAUCUGCGAUAGCCCCGGGUGAACUCUCGGCCUGGUGGAUGCCCUGAAGGCAGAGAGAUGCAGCAGUCUGUUGUUUCAAAUACAGGCUGCCGAGCAGAGACGGUGCCGGAGAGGAGGAGAAAUGUUCCUCUGAAAUAUGAAGAGUUCCUUUGGGCCUUUGAAAGAGCUGAAGAGGAGACACGAACCUGAAUUUGGAAUUACAUUUUAAUCCUUCCUGCAGCCUUUUAAAAUAUCACAAGGAGCGAGGCUUCGCUAUCCAAACCAUCGGAGCGGGGCGCAACCUUCUCUUUAAUGGGAAGCGAAGCCGAGCUGGCACGAGAGCAGCACGCAUCCGAACGCGGCUUUCCGCAGUCAGCAAAACCAAGGCAGAAAAUGACUGUUGGAUUACAUCACAUAUUUUGGGAGGCAUUGAGCAUCGGGAGAGUGACGUUGCACCCUCCUCCAGGUGGUGUCCGGAGUAACCGAUCCCCAGUGGUUCCCCCGAGCUGCCACCAUCCCAUUCCACCCACGGCAGCACUGGAGUGAUGCUGUGAUUGCUUCAGCUCUGGAGCUGCUGGCCCCCACAUGGACCCUGCCCAUGGCUGCAGGUGGGAAGAUGCAGCAAGGCACCUCGUUUGCUGAAACCAUCAUUUGAGGAGACAAGCUGCCAUUUCGCACCCUUGAAAAGCACAUGAUAUGACAGGUGAAAUGUCAGAAAUGAGACUCAAGGCUUGGGGAAAACAUUCUUCAGCUGUGAAGUAUUCCUGCUAGGAAAGUUAAAUUAGAGAUUAAAUGUAAAUGCCUGUAAAAGCCUGGAACACAGCACACUUCAUCAGCCCCCGUCCUGCCACGUGCACAUACAUUGCCAUGCGUGCACGUGCUGGGGCCAUUUGAAGCCCAUUGCAGUGCCCUGCAGCUCUUUGGGAACGGGUGCACAGGGAUUUGGCACAGCAAGGAGGCCUGCAGUGGCUCUCAGAGCUCCCUGACCCCACUGUAUGGGCAGUGUCACCCUGCCUUGUCGAGGUGCUACCAUGGGAUGCUCUGGCCAUGGUGGCCCUGCUGCAUGUCGGGGCGGAUCGCCUUGCAUGGCCGUGCUGCAUCCAUCAGCCAAUAAACAGUUCAUUGCGUGGGAAGAAUUAUCUUCGCUGGCAUUAAGGUCGGCUGUAAGGCGGACAUUAUUACUGGCGGGAGGCAUAGAAGUGCAAUCUGUGUCAGAUAGCAGCCUGUAACUCUUUAUUAUUUACACCGACGCAGCCGUGUUCCUGGGGACGGAGGUGGGAUGGCUGUGCUCACCUGGCUGCCCAUACAAAACCUGGCCGACUUCUGGGACCCAGUGGGGUGCUCACCCCAUGGCUGUGCCCACCUUCUCCCUGCCCUGGGCCACCAGUGAUGCUCGUGAGGGUCAGGGGGUGCUGCCGACAUUGCCGCGGCAAUCACGGCUUCCUUCCACACUUUUUGAAAUUAAAAUGUGCCUCCGCUGGAAGUUGUUAUCAAAAAUAGAAGCAUUUUAUCUAUCUUUAGUACAGAACACAGAUUGCAUGGAGACAUUCAAUUUGGAGUCAAUUUAAAUUUCAAUUGUCUGUGAAAUCUAAAUCAAUAGGCUAUAGUUCAAUGGCGCUUUAAUAAAACAGGACAUAACAGAGAAAUCAUUAGGGAUUACAUAUGAUAAGAGAUUGAAAACAGUGUCUGCGUAAUGGUGGGGGAGCCAUUAGAGAAUUACCUCAAGCAUUUGCAAGUAAACCAACAACCUUUUUCUCCUCCUGAGACUAACAAGAAGACUUAAUCGUGCCGCAGUGCCUAAAAAUACAUCUCUGUCAGCCCUUGGAUUGGGCGUGAUUCGCCGUGACACCCAACUGCUGUGCAGCCUAGGGUGAGGUGGGGGUGGCUGGGGGGCAUGGAGCCCGGUGGUGGGAUGGGAAUGUUGGG